AAAGCACCAUAGAGACCCCUCCCAUCAUCUUCAGGAUAAUGCACUGUAGCACACUUUAGACCUGAAGAAAUGAUUCGUUUCAUCUCUUAAAGAGAAAACCUUCAGCACCCUUUCACGUACAAGAGCCAGGCAGCCAAAUCGUCUAACUUUCACUCACCAGAAACAGCGACGCCACCAGCGACUCCUCGCCGGAAAACGACCACCCAACGUGCCGGAACACCAUGAGAAUAGUUUUUCAAAAACCAGUUGUGUAAGCUCAUCAUUUUCACCAUUAAAGCACUGAAGAAUCAGCAACAAACCCCCAUCGAAACAGCCCAAACAUCAUAGCUUAAGCUCUGUUUUUAUCUGCGAAAGAUUACGUGGGAAAAAGGGCCGAGUUCGGGUUUUCCAUCGAAGUCUCCGACGUUAUUUUCCGGUGGUUCUAUAGCCGACAGUGUUGAUCGCAGCUAGUGGUGCUUUGCCUUCAUCUCCCCAGCAGUCUUUGUGAGCCCCAUUCCUUCCCGGGGCCAUGUAGUACAUCUUUUGCUUAUAUGUUUAUCAUAUUUUGAGGUAUAGCCGAGGCCUUGUUGCCGGCACUUUUGUAGCACUUUCUUUUGUGUCUACUUAGAGGCUUCGUAGACAUUAUGUGGAUUGUAUAUGGGUGUUGGAAAGGUCAAAGGAUGAUCUUGUGUUUGGACUAUUGUUCCACUAAAUAGUAAGGUAUAUGUAUUUUAUAAACAAAGAAAAAAGAAAAAUACUCAACAACGAUGUAAUUAAUGAAUUGGCUUAGUAAUGUACUUGUAUGAUUUCCUAUUGCCUAAA